rnacentral:rRNA from 1 species
UGGGGAAUUUUGGACAAUUGGGCGAAAGCCUGAUCCAGCAAUGCCGCGUGUGUGAAGAAGGCCUUCGGGUUGUAAAGCACUUUUGUCCGGAAAGAAAUCCUUGGCUCUAAUACAGUCGGGGGAUGACGGUACCGGAAGAAUAAGCACCGGCUAACUACGUGCCAGCAGCCGCGGUAAUACGUAGGGUGCAAGCGUUAAUCGGAAUUACUGGGCGUAAAGCGUGCGCAGGCGGUUUGCUAAGACCGAUGUGAAAUCCCCGGGCUCAACCUGGGAACUGCAUUGGUGACUGGCAGGCUAGAGUAUGGCAGAGGGGGGUAGAAUUCCACGUGUAGCAGUGAAAUGCGUAGAGAUGUGGAGGAAUACCGAUGGCGAAGGCAGCCCCCUGGGCCAAUACUGACGCUCAUGCACGAAAAGCGUGGGGAGCAAACAGGAUUAGAUACCCUGGUAGUCCACGCCCUAAACGAUGUCAACUAGUUNUUGGGGAUUCAUUUCCUUAGUAACGUAGCUAACGCGUGAAGUUGACCGCCUGGGGGAGUACGGUCGCAAGAUUAAAACUC